UGGGGAAUUUUGGACAAUGGGCGAAAGCCUGAUCCAGCAAUGCCGCGUGGGUGAAGAAGGCCUUCGGGUUGUAAAGCCCUUUCGGAUAGAAAGAAAACUUUUAUUCUAAUACAAUAGAAGCAUGACGGUACUAUCAUAAGAAGCACCGGCUAACUACGUGCCAGCAGCCGCGGUAAUACGUAGGGUGCGAGCGUUAAUCGGAAUUACUGGGCGUAAAGCGUGCGCAGGCGGUUGUAUAAGCCAGAUGUGAAAGCCCCGAGCUUAACUUGGGAAUUGCGUUUGGAACUAUAUAACUAGAAUUCGGUAGAGGAGAGUGGAAUUCCACGUGUAGCAGUGAAAUGCGUAGAGAUGUGGAGGAACACCAAUUGCGAAGGCAGGUUACCAAGAUAUAACUGACGCU
rnacentral:rRNA from 1 species